GUGUUAAGACCGGCAUGUGAUAGCCCGGCCUCGCAGCUAUUCUCGCGGCCGAGCCGUGUUCACAGCGAGGAGUGAGUGACCGUCUCAGUGAGCGGGGUCAGCCCAGCAGGACCAGGAGAUGCAGAACCUGUAUUGUAUCAAGAUCUAAGGAAAAUUUCUCUGGUAGAUAAUAAGAGCUGUGUGUGGGAGUGAGAGAGGGAAGCGGAUGCUAUUCCUCUGUCAGGAAGGUCACUUUACAUUUCAUGCUCACUGACU
rnacentral:lncRNA from 1 species